rnacentral:rRNA from 1 species
CCCUUAGAUGUUCUGGGCCGCACGCGCGCUACACUGAUGCAUUCAACGAGUCUAAAGCCUGGUCUGAUAGGGCUGGGUAAUCUUUUGAAUGUGCAUCGUGAUUGGGAUAGAUGAUUGCAAUUCUUCAUCUUCAACGAGGAAUGCCUAGUAAACGCAAGUCAUCAGCUUGCAUUGAUUACGUCCCUGCCCUUUGUACACACCGCCCGUCGCUCCUACCGAUUGAAUGUUCCGAUGAAUACCAUGGACUGAGAGUAUGAAUGGGUUCGCCUAUUUCUGCUUCUCGGGAAGUGGAGUAAAUCUUAACAUUUAGAGGAAGGAGAAGUCGUAACA